GAGAUCUUCGGUGGGGGUACGGGUGCUUUACGCCACGAGGCUGAUGCGUUUGGGUUCUCGUCUGCAGACUCUCUGGACCUGGUCACGAUUCCACAAUGUACCACAACAGUAGCCAGAAGCGGCACUGGACUUUCUCCAGUGAGGAGCAGCUGGCAAGACUGCGGGCCGACGCCAACCGCAAAUUCAGAUGCAAAGCCGUGGCCAACGGGAAGGUUCUUCCGAAUGAUCCAGUCUUUCUUGAGCCUCAUGAAGAAAUGACACUCUGCAAAUACUAUGAGAAAAGGUUAUUGGAAUUCUGUUCGGUGUUUAAGCCAGCAAUGCCAAGGUCUGUUGUGGGUACGGCUUGUAUGUAUUUCAAACGUUUUUACCUUAAUAACUCAGUAAUGGAAUAUCACCCCAGGAUAAUAAUACCAUUUGAGGGCUUCCUCAUCGACUUAAAGACCCGCUAUCCCGUAUUGGAGAAUCCAGAGAUUUUGAGGAAAACAGCUGAUGACUUUCUUAAUAGAAUUGCAUUGACGGAUGCUUACCUUUUGUACACACCUUCCCAAAUUGCCCUGACUGCCAUUUUAUCUAGUGCCUCCAGGGCUGGAAUUACUAUGGAAAGGU
rnacentral:sRNA from 1 species